AAACAACUUUCAGGCAUUUAUUCAAGAGGAGGUACCAAGGGCCCCUUUGCCCAGAACUCGGGAAGCAGAACCUGAAGAUUUAGGUGGGGAUCCACGUCCUAAGGUUGAGGAUGAUCUAGAGAUUGGUGAAGAUCUAUUAAAAAUUUCCCAACGACGUAAUAUUGAAGCAAUUGAUGAUGACAUACGCAGCAGGGGAAGUAAUGGGCCUCCCCAUAAUACCUCAGAGUUGGAAUCAGUUCUUAGUUCAGAUCAUCGAGCUUCUACAAUUCGGUCAGAAACUAGACAUUCCAGUUGGGGAAGGAGAAGUGGGAGCUGGGAAAUUGCACCAGAGGUCCUCUCCAACUCUAAUGUUACUGAAAGCAGAAUCUACAGCACACCCAAGGAACCACGCCAAUGAUGAUAGGUAGUUUGUUCAUCUGCUGAUAUUAGCAUGGCAUCUAUGCUGGUGAUUGUGAAUUUGUUUGGGUGCCUUCGUCCUACUUUUGAAGGGAGUUGCUUUUGAUUAGACAAUUACAGUUAUCUGAUGGGAGCGAAAAAAAUCUGUUCCCCGUCUAGGCAUGAGGCUUGUGUUAUCGUUUUGGGUGGAAUGCAGUCAAUAGGAAUGUGUUUGUAAUUG
rnacentral:misc_RNA from 1 species